GCAUCCUGGUUUACGUUAAAUUAAGAGGGUAGACGGUAUCAAAGACAAUCCUUGCAAAUGUAUGGCGAACUUCCUGCAGGCUUCCUAAAGCUAACAUCUCAUAAUUUAUCUUGCUACCUUGUUUUGGGACAAAUCCCUUCUCUGUUCCCUGUCUUAUACAAUCGAAUAUCCUACACGCUUUUAAAUACAAGGGCAAUGGAAUGAAUACUAGAUCUGAAUAUGGAGCUUGAGGAUACUCUGCCAUGGCUUGAGAGACAUAAUACUCAUCAGUCAUCAUACUUAGCACCCGUUUAAUAGAGACUACAAGAUCCAUAACCUCAUCACUCAAUGCCUCUGUAUCCUUGUCCCCAAGUUCUGACAAUUCAUCAAAGCGGACAUCAUGCGGCCUAUUGAUCCUCCUUGCUAUGUUUAGUGCUUCUGACAUAUCACCACCAUUGUGCACGGCAAGACAAAAUAUAGCAACCACCAGAGGAUCCCUUGGUUGGUCAGAUAAUGCUUUAUGGAAUGCUAAGAUUCCAACCCAUAAGCUGCUGUGGCAUGGCCUGUCAGGUGCAAGAAGCUUAUCCAGGUUUGAAAACAGAGACAAAAGCAUAUUGGUUCUCUUGUCACGUCUCCUAAAACCAUGAUGAACAAAAUAUGCUGCCUGAAUGGGCAGAAGUACUUCAAGAAGGCCAAAUUUCCAUAAUAACCUCAAAGAAGCUUCAGCAGAACCAUAUGCUAGCAUGUAGUUCAUUUCCAUCAAAAGCCUUCCCUUAUCAAGUCUCAAAAUUGUGCAAGCAAAAUUUUUAACAAAAUGAGCUGUUUCUCUUGAAAAGCGG
rnacentral:misc_RNA from 1 species